rnacentral:rRNA from 1 species
UACGUAGGUGGCAAGCGUUGUUCGGAGUUACUGGGCGUAAAGGGUGUGUAGGCGGUUAUUUAAGUUUGGUGUGAAAUCUCCCGGCUCAACCGGGAGGGUGCGCCGAAUACUGAAUGACUUGGAGUGCGGGAGAGGAAAGUGGAAUUCCUGGUGUAGCGGUGAAAUGCGUAGAUAUCAGGAGGAACACCGGUGGUGUAGACGGCUUUCUGGACCGUAACUGACGCUGAGACACGAAAGCGUGGGUAGCAAACAGG